AUGGUCCUUGCUGUCCUUCCGAAAUUACACUGUGUCAGACUCCGAUCCAAAGCAUACAAUGAGAGCAAGCUCACCUUCAAGAAGGAAGAAUUCCAACAGCUAAAGUACUUUAUUGUGGAGGGCAACAUGACUGAGACAGACAUCGAGUUUCAAGACGUCGAGUUUCAAGAUGGUGCAACUGCUGAGCUGGAGAAGGUCGUCUUGUCCUUCACCAACAUAAGGUUUCUGAGUGGGAUCGACAACCUUCCAAAAUUGAAGGAGCUUGAUUUAGAAGGCAACCGAUUCCUACUUUCAUUUGCUCAAGACGAAGCAUCUCCUGAGCAAAGCACCAAGAUUGGAUCUGCUGAGCAAAACACGGAGGGCGGAUCUACUGAGCCAAACACCCAGAGUAGAGCCCCUGAACAAAACAGCGAGAGUAGAGCUCCUGAGCACAACACAGAGAGCACAGCUACUGAGCCAAACACUCAGAGUAGAGCCCCUGAACAAAAUAUCGAGAGUAGAGCUCCUGAGCACAACACACAGGGCAGAACUACUGAGGAAAUCACUCGGAUUAGUGACCCUGAGCAAAGCAACGAGCACAACACUCCUGAGCAAGACAGUCAGAAUACAGCUCCUAAGCAAAACACUGACACUAGAGCCGAGCAAAACACGGGGAGUAAAUCUCUUGAUCAGAACACUGAGAACAGAGUUGCGGAGGGAAUCACUCAGAGUAGAGACCCUGAGCAAAGCAACGAGCGCAAAGCUCCCGAGCAAGACAGUCAGAGUACAACUCCUAAGCAAAACACUGACGGCUUCUUUGGAUCACAGGAUUUGCAAAACAAAGGAAUAGGAAAAAUGGAGGAUUUGACUGCCAUGACAUAG
rnacentral:rRNA from 1 species